rnacentral:rRNA from 1 species
GACGAACGCUGGCGGCGUGGAUUAGGCAUGCAAGUCGAACGGUAUCAUCCUUUCGGGGGUGAGAGAGUGGCGAACUGGUGAGUAACACGUAGGUUAUCUACCCUCAAGACGGGGACAACCCAGGGAAACUUGGGCUAAUACCGGAUGUGAGCAACUUUUAGUUGUUUGAAAGGUGGCGUAAGCUGUCGCUUGGGGAUGAGCCUGCGUCCUAUUAGUUAGUUGGUGAGGUAACGGCUCACCUAGGCAAUGAUAGGUAGGCGGCCUUAACGGGUGGUCGCCCACACUGGGAUUGAGAUACGGCCCAGACUCCUACGGGAGGCAGCAGUCGAGAAUAGUCUACAAUGGUCGGAAGACUGAUAGUGCGACGCCGCGUGAACGAGGGAGCCCUUCGGGGUGUAAAGUUACUUUUCUAUACGAGCAGUGCUAUAUAUAUGGAUAGUAUAUAUAGAGGGAUAGUAGUAUAGGUAAUAAGCAACGGCUAACUCCGUG